rnacentral:misc_RNA from 1 species
GAUGAAGAACGCAGCGAAACGCGAUAGCUAGUGUGAAUUGCAGAUUUUCGUGAAUCAUCGAGUCUUUGAACGCACAUUGCGCCCCCUGGUAUUCCGGGGGGCAUGCCUAUUCGAGCGUCGUGGUCACGCUUCAAGCCCGGCUUGAUGAUGGGGAACGCCCUCUCUCGGGGGGGCCUCCUUCAAAUGCAACUCCAGACGCCUCGUUGGCUGGGAGCGCAGCAGCAGUGCGCUUCCCCGAGGCGACCGGAUGCCCCUCGUGGGCUCGAGAUUGCUAGACCUCGAAUUAGGCAGGGAUACCCGCUGAACUUAAGCAUAUCAAUAAGCGGAGGA